AUAACCAACCUUUAAACAAAAAGAAUAUUCCGAAUUCUAUAAGUUCAUAUGUAUGACGAAAAGAUUCUUCACAAAAAAAAUUACUGUGAUAGGAGAAUGGGAACAAGAAACCCUAAAAUCUUAGCUAACACCCCCCCCCCCCGCCCUUAACCUAAACGUGAGGGCAAUGAGUUGAGUUUUUUUUUUUUUAUAUAAAUAUGAACUAGUUAUAUAUUCAUCGACAGAUUUCAAAUGUUAUGUUUAAAUUAUUCAGUGUAUUUGACCAUGUAAAGAAGAAUCCCCCCCUCCCUCUCCCUUUGCGGAAGGCACAAACAGUGGUUUAUUCCCUUGUGUUUGACACGAUCGAUUUAUACACAGGCGAGCGAAAAAAAGUGACCCUAUAAUUGAGCAGGAGCAGUUAUUUAAUUUGUUGGGAAUGACGUAGAGAAUGACGUAUUCUUACAUAUUUGUUUAUUUUAAGUGAUUUAUUUUUAUGAGCUUUUUUAUAUAAGAUAACAUAUAUCUAUAAAUAUCAUUUAAAACUGUCAUAUUUUAGUUUAUAAUUGAUAAAUACACAUAUAGAAGAAUUCAGUUUACGUUUAAGUUUCUGUGGACAAGUGUUAAAAGUUUUGUAACAUUUUUAUGAAAACAAAAUGAAAUCUGGCAAAAGAGGACCACAAGUGAAUAAUAAGCAAAAAGAAUUGAUUGUGAGACUCCGAGGUCUAAAUAUUUAGAGGUUUGACGUUCAACGCCAUCUCUAGCCCAACAAGCGACAUUGGUACGGAAGGAGGCGUGAACUUCCUGUUUAAUGCUCUCCCGCGGUGCUCUAUGAUAAGACUGUAAGGACUUCUGGGAGUACCUAAAAA